rnacentral:rRNA from 1 species
UAUCCUACGGGACGCAGCAGGGAGGAAUAUUGGUCAAUGGACGAGAGUCUGAACCAGCCAAGUAGCGUGAAGGAUGACUGCCCUAUGGGUUGUAAACUUCUUUUAUAUGGGAAUAAAGUUUUCCACGUGUGGGAUUUUGUAUGUACCAUAUGAAUAAGGAUCGGCUAACUCCGUGCCAACAGCCGCGGUAAUACGGAGGAUCCGAGCGUUAUCCGGAUUUAUUGGGUUUAAAGGGAGCGUAGGUGGAUUGUUAAGUCAGUUGUGAAAGUUUGUGGCUC